rnacentral:rRNA from 1 species
GUGGGGAAUCUUGCACAAUGGGGGAAACCCUGAUGCAGCGACGCCGCGUGAGCGAUGAAGCCCUUCGGGGUGUAAAGCUCUUUCGGCAGGGAAGAUGAUGACGGUACCUGCAGAAGCAGCUGCGGCUAACUACGUGCCAGCAGCCGCGGUAAUACGUAGGCAGCAAGCGUUGUUCGGAGUUACUGGGCGUAAAGGGUGUGUAGGCGGCCUGUUAAGUUCCGUGUGAAAUCUCCCGGCUCAACCGGGAGGGUGCGCGGAACACUGGCGGGCUAGAGUACGGGAUGGGAGAGUGGAAUUCCUGGUGUAGCGGUGAAAUGCGUAGAUAUCAGGAGGAACACCUGCGGUGUAGACGGCUCUCUGGACCGUAACUGACGCUGAAACACGAAAGCGUGGGUAGCAAACAGGAUUAGAAACCCCUGUAGUCC